CAGUCCUCAAGGAUAGUGAAAUACAGAAAAAAUAGAAAGAAGGAAAAAGCAGAAAGAAAAAGGCAAAAAGAUGAAGAUUAAAGAUAUGGAAAAAUUGACAGAUGCCCCUAGUCACGUGAUGUCCAUCCAGAAACAAGCAAGUAAGAAUCUGGACGAAUCAGGUCUGGACACAACAAGCCUCAUACCGGCUUAAGGAAACAAAGAGGUGAACAUCUCCUUGAUGGUCCACUGGUCAGGGUCAGUGAAUAAUGUCCCUCAUGGUCAAUUAGGCUCAGCUAGUCGGGUGGUAGAACAAAUCACUCUUUAUCUGUCACAUGUUCUAUGCAUAUAAAAAUGUAGACACAGUCAAAUAGAGGGAUGCAUUGCAUACAUAAGCUGUUGUUGUCUUUAUUUUGCUUUUAUGGGAGCCCUGAGUGUCUAAGAGGUGUGGAUGUUGGUCCAUUGUGCCCCUGGGUUCCAAUACCUAUCCUCUGUGAUGUCAUGCCUUCGGUUUCUGAUGGCGUAAGACUG